GAGAAGAACAAAAUUAAGCUGCUAACUUAAUUUUUAAUGGUUAAAAUCCGUUAUCUAUUUU
rnacentral:tRNA from 1 species